GGUGAGUAACACGUGGGCAACCUGCCUGUAAGAUCGGGAUAACUCCGGGAAACCGGGGCUAAUACCGGAUAAUACUUUUUCUCGCGUGGGGAGAAGUUGAAAGAUGGCUUCGGCUAUCGCUUACAGAUGGGCCCGCGGCGCAUUAGCUAGUUGGUAGGGUAACGGCCUACCAAGGCAACGAUGCGUAGCCGACCUGAGAGGGUGAUCGGCCACACUGGGACUGAGACACGGCCCAGACUCCUACGGGAGGCAGCAGUAGGGAAUCUUCCGCAAUGGACGAAAGUCUGACGGAGCAACGCCGCGUGAGUGAUGAAGGUUUUUGGAUCGUAAAACUCUGUUGUGAGGGAAGAACAAGUACCGUUCGAAGAGGGCGGUACCGUGACGGUACCUCACCAGAAAGCCCCGGCUAACUACGUGCCAGCAGCCGCGGUAAUACGUAGGGGGCAAGCGUUGUCCGGAAUUAUUGGGCGUAAAGCGCGCGCAGGCGGUCUUUUAAGUCUGAUGUGAAAUCUCGCGGCUCANCCGCGAGCGGUCAUUGGAAACUGGAGGACUUGAGUGCAGAAGAGGAGAGUGGAAUUCCACGUGUAGCGGUGAAAUGCGUANAGAUGUGGAGGAACACCAGUGGCGAANGCGACUCUCUGGUCUGUAACUGACGCUGANGUGCGAAAGCGUGGGGAGCGAACAGGAUUAGAUACCCUGGUAGUCCACGCC
rnacentral:rRNA from 1 species